rnacentral:rRNA from 1 species
UACGUAGGGCGCAAGCGUUAUCCGGAAUUAUUGGGCGUAAAGAGCUCGUAGGCGGUUUGUCGCGUCUGCCGUGAAAGUCCGGGGCUCAACUCCGGAUCUGCGGUGGGUACGGGCAGACUAGAGUGAUGUAGGGGAGACUGGAAUUCCUGGUGUAGCGGUGAAAUGCGCAGAUAUCAGGAGGAACACCAGUGGCGAAGGCGGUUCUCUGGGCAUGUCCUGACGCUGAGGAGCGAAAGCGUGGGGAGCAAACAGG